AUUGAACGCUGGCGGCAGGCCUAACACAUGCAAGUCGAGCGAGCGGCGGACGGGUGAGUAAUGUCUGGGAAACUGCCUGAUGGAGGGGGAUAACUACUGGAAACGGUAGCUAAUACCCCAUAUCACCAGAGGUGCACAGAUGGGAUUAGCUAGUAGGGGGGGUAACGGCGCACCUAGGCGACGAUCCCUAGCUGGUCUGAGAGGAGGACCAGCCAAACUGGAACUGAGACACGGGCCAGACUCCUACGGGAGGCAGCAGUGGGGAAUAUUGCACAAUGGGCGCAAGCCUGAUGCAGCCAUGCCGCGUGUGUGAAGAAGGCCUUCGGGUUGUAAAGCACUUUCAGCGGGGAGGCGUUACCCGCAGAAGAAGCACCGGCUAACUCCGUGCCAGCAGCCGCGGUAAUAC
rnacentral:rRNA from 1 species